rnacentral:rRNA from 1 species
AACGAACGCUGGCGGCUUGCCUAACCCAUGCAAUUCGAACGAGACCUUCGGUUCUGGUGGCGCACGGUUGCUUACCGCGUGGGAACCUGCCCUUAGUUUCGGAUUACCUCCCCGAAAGGGUUCCUAAUACCGGUUAUUUUCUUCGGCCCAAAGAUUUAUCGCUUUUGGAUGGGCCCGCGUUGGAUUAGCUAGUUGGUAGGGUAAAAGCCUACCAAGGCGACGAUCCAUAGCUGGUCUGAGAGGAUGAUCAGCCACACUGGGACUGAGACACGGCCCAGACUCCUACGGGAGGCAGCAGUGGGGAAUAUUGGACAAUGGGCGAAAGCCUGAUCCAGCAAUGCCGCGUGAGUGAUGAAGGCCUUAGGGUUGUAAAGCUCUUUUACCCGGGAUGAUAAUGACAGUACCGGGAGAAUAAGCUCCGGCUAACUCCGUG